AUACGGAGGAUGCGAGCGUUAUCCGGAUUUAUUGGGUUUAAAGGGAGCGUAGGUGGGAUAUUAAGUCAGCUGUGAAAGUUUGGGGCUCAACCUUAAAAUUGCAGUUGAUACUGGUUUCCUUGAGUACGGUACAGGUGGGCGGAAUUCGUGGUGUAGCGGUGAAAUGCUUAGAUAUCACGAAAAACUCCGAUCGCGAAGGCAGCUCACCGGGCCGGAACUGACACUGAUGCUCGAAAGUGCGGGUAUCAAACAGGAUUAGAUACCCUGGUAGUCCGCACAGGAAACGAUGAAUACUCGCUGUUUGCGAUACACUGUAAGCGGCCAAGCGAAAGCGUUAAGUAUUCCACCUGGGGAGUACGCCGGCAACGGUGAAACUCAAAGGAAUUGACGGGG
rnacentral:rRNA from 1 species